CGUCGUCAGUCGCUGCACGGACGGACUUUGGAUCGGUCGUAAAGGUGUAAACCCUUCUGCUUCUGUUAGCCCGAAAGCGCGCGUGUUUUCGUUACUUCGCCCUUCAAGUACACUAGCUACCGGUAGAACUAUAUCGUCGCCCAUCAUUCGCAAGGGUUUGUGGUAUUGUGUGUAUUUUGCUGAAAUCGCUUGCCCAUUAUCACGUAGUGUCGCUUCGCUGCGGACGGUCCAUUUCACGGUGGUUGCAAUUUCACUGGAUCAGCAAUUUUCGAGAGACGAAUUCAAGCGGCCUCCAGAACAUUCCAUCGGUUUCGCGCGCGCCCGAGUUUCGUUCUACUCUCGAUCACUUCACGGUUGCAUUCUUUGGAAAAAUGGAAAGAAACUGAAUCCAUCGGGAUCGAAUUUCUAGGUUGCAAGCACUGUUUACAAAACAAAGCGCUAAGAAAUGUGCUGUGGAAGCAGUCGAGUCUCAACUUCGUCGUAAACAUAGUGUGAAAGUGAGCUGUUGGUCUGCAGCAGAGUGUUAUCUCUUAUCCGAUGAGAAUUCAGCGGUUGGAUGCAGAUUAUAUACAAUCUGAAGUGAGGGACUAAUAGGGUGUACCAGAAGAAAAAAACAAUAAUGGUUCGAUAAGUCAUGGUGCUCAAUCCUAGAAUUGACUACUGUUCUAUGCUAUAUCUGCAGUGAAGUAUCCUCGGUUUUGUGGGAGGUACAACUUAUACUUCGAUACCGAGUCAAUUGAUUAAUGGGCAGUUUAUCGCGAAUUGGAAAAUGUCAUCGAGGCCAAGUUCAAUGCGAGGAAUUAAUUACAGCCACUAAACAAGAUUCCGCUAAGCGGCAAUCAGGUGUGUGUAGUCGAUGCAUCGGUCGGCUGGUGGAUUCCACUUGGUUUGCGGUUAGUGGCUUCGAGUGUUGAAGGAAAACGCCGUUGAAUAAUGGAGGUCGUCAGUUGAAGUGAUUAAAGUUAUGGUUCGAAUACAGUAUACUGCAGUAUGUUCUAAUACGUAAAAAAGUGUCAUACCGUGAUAAGUUGAAAGAAGUUGCCGCUCCGUGCUAACAACAAGUGUGAAUAUCAAGUGGAUGUGAUAUUGCCGGAACCUCCGGCGUCCUUCAGCAUGAUGAACGGGAAGCCAACCACAGAGAUGAGCCUGCUAACGGUUCCAACGAAGAUCAUCCCCACAAAACAGCCCCUCUCCAGUCGAGAUGCCGUCGAAACGGACGACGAGGAAGAUGGGCUGGGGUACACCCACACAUUGAUGUAUGGUCGCUAUACCAAAGACCUAGGAGAAUACGCCAAAGAUGAAGCGCGAAGACUCAGGCUUCUUGAACGAAGAAGAAAAAAAGACGAUAAAGCAAGAAACAAGGAGCUGUUGGGAGUGCGGGAUAACAAAUUUUUCAAAGCCUCCUCAUGGCUGUGGCGGAAUACUUUCGCGCGGCUUGGCGAGGACUGGGUGUUCCUGGCCCUGCUCGGCAUCAUCAUGGCCCUACUGUCCUACGUGAUGGAUAAAGGCAUCUCGAUGUGCACAAAUUCACGAGUAUGGUUGUAUCGAGAUCUCACAAAUCAUCCCGUGGCACAGUACCUAGCGUGGGUGUCCUUGCCCGUGUGCCUGAUCCUGUUCUCGGCCGGUUUCGUUCACUUGGUCGCACCGCAGAGCAUAGGUUCCGGCAUUCCGGAGAUGAAAACCAUCCUGCGGGGGGUGGCCCUGAAAGAGUAUCUCACCUUCAAGACGCUGGUCGCCAAAGUGAUAGGCCUGACGGCGACCCUGGGAUCCGGAAUGCCCCUUGGCAAGGAAGGUCCCUUUGUACAUAUAGCUAGUAUAGUAUCGCAGUUGUUAAGUAAAAUCAUCACGUCAUUCCAAUCGAUCUACGAGAAUGAAUCCCGCAACACGGAGAUGCUGGCCGCGGCAUGUGCUGUCGGUGUGGGUGCCUGCUUUGCUGCACCAGUUGGUGGGGUCCUUUUCAGCAUCGAGGUCACAACGACAUAUUUUGCCGUGCGAAAUUACUGGCGGGGCUUCUUUGCGGCCGUAUGUGGAGCGACCGUGUUCCGACUGUUGGCCGUGUGGUUUCAGAAGGCGGACACCGUGACGGCCCUGUUUGCCACCAACUUUACUGCCGACUUCCCAUUUGAUCCGCAGGAGCUGUUCGUGUUCGCGCUGAUUGGCCUCGUUAGCGGCCUGGGAGGUGCAUUGUAUGUGUGGGUCCACCGGAAGUAUGUCCUGUUUAUGCGAUCUAACAAGCGGAUGAACAAAUUCCUACAGAAAAACCGAUUCCUGUACCCUGGCAUUGUGUCACUGAUAGUGGCCACCCUUUCAUUCCCUCUCGGUUUCGGUCAGUUCAUUGCCGGCGAAUUGAGCACACACGAGCAGGUCCACCAGCUCUUCUCCAACUUCACCUGGAGCAACACUGUGCACACCGUUGAGCAAGCAGCCAUCGUGUCCAAUUGGAAAGCGGGCAGUGGCGAUGUACUAAUCAAUCUCAUCGUUUAUCUGUUGUUUACGUUCUUCUUUUCUAUUGUUGCUUCGACCAUUCCGGUUCCGUCUGGUAUCUUUAUUCCCGUGUUUAAAAUUGGCGCCGCCUUCGGAAGGAUAAUUGGUGAAGCAAUGCACAUGUGGUUCCCAAUGGGAGUUCGUUAUGGUGGUAAGUUAGCCCCCAUUAUCCCGGGUGGCUAUUCCGUGGUGGGAGCCGCUGCCUUCUCUGGAGCCGUUACACACACUGUAUCAGUGGGCGUGAUCGUGUUCGAAAUGACAGGCCAAAUUACUCACAUAGUGCCGGUGAUGAUUGCUUCACUGGUUUCGAAUGCAGUAGCUGCACUCCUCCAACCGUCCAUGUACGAUAGUAUUAUUCUGAUCAAGAAGCUACCUUAUCUGCCCGAUUUGCUGCCAAGCGGAUCAGGAAUGUACAAUAUCUACGUCGAGGACUUUAUGGUUCGUGAUGUAAAAUUCAUUUGGAAGGGAAUCUCGUAUCAGAAGCUCAAAGAAAUUCUCAAGGCGAACAAAGGCUUGAGAAGUUUACCUAUCGUGGACAGUCCAGAGAGCCCUGUAUUGCUCGGUAGCGUUCAACGAUACGAGCUGAUCAAAAUGAUCGAUAAACACAUUGGACGGGAGAAACGCUUAGAAGUGGCAGCCAAGUGGAUGAAGGAAGCCGAGGAGAAGGCACGUGAAGAACAAGAACGACUCAGACGUGAAGCUGAGGAACUGCAGAAAACUCGUCGUCCAUCGAGAUUUGAAGUUAGCCCCGCUCCAGAUAUUCUCAAGCUCCGUGAACGAGCCAACAACGAAAUGUUACCACCUCAAGCAAAGAAAGAAACUUCUUCCGGAUUCAGUCCCGUGUUCGGAUCGCAACCCAAAAAGUCCAUUCUCAAGAAGACUAACUCAUUCACAUUGAAGGGAUUCACGCCGCUCUCACCGCACAGCCCGACCCAUACACCGUACACGACCAUCACCGGAGGCACCGAGAGUCGAAUUAGGUCUGCAUUCGACAUCAUCUUCCGCAAGUCGGCCACACUCCAGGACGUUACUCCCGAUCCAGAGAUCGGUUCCAUCGGUACACCUAGCAUUUCUGGUACCGAAGGAAUACCACUGACGCCCGGAAUUUCCAAGAAGGUUCAACUGCCACGAGAACGUGUUAUAGACAUGUCGGCUGAAGACCAGAAAGCCUGGGAACUGGAAGAAAUGGCCAAGCCAAUUGACGUGGAAAAUCUACACAUUGACCCUGCGCCAUUCCAGCUAGUGGAACGUACUUCCAUUCUGAAGGUGCACUCGCUGUUCUCGAUGGUGGGCAUCAACCAUGCUUAUGUGACGAACGUUGGUAAGCUGGUAGGCGUGGUGGCCCUCAAAGAGCUACGACAAGCCAUCGAGAAUGUCAACAGCGGGACGCUGACGCCGGAAUCGGUGAAACAGAAACAGGAGGAGGAAGCAAAAGCGAAGGCCCAAAAAGAAGCGGAAAACAACAACUCUUCCCCGGAGGAACCCCUGCUGCCCAAGGCAGACGCCUACAGUGAUAAGAAAGUAAAUAGCACUAUAACAUCUAUGGAUUCGGCACUGUCCUACUCGGACAACUGCUCCGAUAUCGAAGUAGAUCACAUUAGGUUCACAAAUGAUAAGAAUAGCACUUCUACCAUACACAGUAGCGACAACAGUAACGACGGCAACUGCAACAGCAAUCAACAGUCGUAACAAAAGAAUAACCAUCUCUAACUUUAAAACUAGAAUAACGUCCAAUAAUGGGGGAAAAUGGAAGGCGUUUGUCUCAGAAAAAAAACAACUAAACUCGUUGGUAUCUCUGAAAUUCUGAUUUGCUGUCAUAUUGACACGUACACACAAACACAAACGGUGUAGUGCACUCGAAAUUACUCAAUCACCCGAACUACACUUCCACAUUCGACUUAACGGUCUUCGCACACUAAUUGCACAACGAGAGGAUAUUUAAGUUUACAUCACCUUUUAAGGCAAGAAGCCUUCGGAUCAUUGGAUAAGAUAUUCAAGGACUAGCGAACCAGCGGCAUGCCAUCAUCACCCUGACCAUGCGACGUAGGAACGCAUAACGUACGAUUUGUUUUAGUCAAGACAUCCCGUGUACGCCCAUCCAAGAUGACCACGGAUGAUGCAGAUGAUGCGAUACUUCCGAGAAAGUUGUGAUUCUAAUUUUAGUCCCAUUCAGUUCUUCCCGUACCACCUCAUCGUCUAGGACCUAAGGCCGCGUGGUUACCUUGUAACGACUCGUAACGAGCAUGAGGCGCGACACGUCGUGCGAUAAACUAUUAAAUUAUUCUUGAAACAAGACGAGGUAGCUAAGCACAUUUACCUACAAAGCUGUGAAGAAGAAAGUAUCAAAACGAAAGUGCCUAGCAGAAACAAAAGUCACUUUGACCAUUGAGAAAAAAAAACGCUUCGCCAGAUUUUAAAUUUAAGCCAAACCAUGCCAAGUCCCACAUCGAUAGGAAAUUAUACAUUUAUUUUAAUUAUAGAUAAAAAAAAAUGUGAAUGCUUCGAGUUGAGAAAAAAAUAUAAAACGAAAUGUCUAGAUCAAUUACUAGAGGUGGGUUGUCCAAGGGAGGCCCACAACCAUACACUGUAAAUAGGUGCAUCUGCUUAAACGGUAAGGAUCACUGUUGAAUAAAAGACAUUUUAUCUUUAUUGUUAACUGUAAGUCGAGCGAAGCAAGUGUGAUUCAGUUGAUGACAUGUGUUUGCAAGCAUAACACACAUGAAAGUCAAAGACUCGGAUAAAAUGCAACCCCAAAAAUGAUGAUUUAGUUUUAAAUAACUGUUUUUAAAUGAACGCCAUGGAAAACACAGCAUUAUUAUCCUCAACUGACUGUUUUAGAUAAAUUGUUACAAUAAAAUCGUGGCAUACGACCCACUAUGGGAAAUAAAGUCAUUAGGGAAAUUUUAAA